GGACCCGUAGCUCAGCUGGAUAGAGCGCUGCCCUCCGAAGGCAGAGGCCAUAGGUUCGAAUCCUAUCGGGUCCGCCA
rnacentral:tRNA from 1 species